AAGAGGAAUGUACCCAAAUGACACGAUUUGGAAGAUCCUGGUUCAAGCAUCCAGAGCCACCAAUCAGCCUCUGCUCCCUUUGUUUGGUUCGCCGCUGGGCAGUGUUGGGACCGUAGUUAAGGCUGGGAUUGUGUUCUCGCUUCCUCCGCCGGGGCUGGGUAGGCGAUUCGAAGCUCGCCCCCCAGAUUCGCCCCUUUGGACCAAUGAAGGAACCCGAUGCCAUUAAACUUUUCAUCGGGCAGAUCCCACGGAAUUUGGAGGAGAAGGAUCUCAAGCCCAUCUUUGAGCAAUUUGGGAAGAUCUACGAGUUGACAGUGAUUAAGGACAAAUACACGGGCAUGCACAAAGGAUGCGCGUUCCUGACCUACUGUGCUCGAGAAUCAGCCCUCAAGGCGCAGAGCGCCCUGCAUGAGCAGAAGACGCUCCCAGGGAUGAACCGGCCGAUCCAGGUGAAGCCAGCAGACAGCGAAAGCAGAGGAGAAGACCGGAAGCUGUUUGUGGGGAUGCUGGGCAAGCAGCAGACAGACGAGGACGUCAGGAAAAUGUUCGAGCCCUUUGGGAACAUUGAUGAGUGCACAGUGCUGCGGGGGCCAGACGGCACCAGCAAAGGCUGUGCCUUCGUGAAGUUCCAGGCCCACGCCGAGGCUCAGGCCGCCAUCAACACGCUGCACGGCAGCCGGACAUUGCCCGGCGCCUCCUCCAGCCUGGUGGUGAAAUUCGCCGACACGGAGAAGGAGCGGGGCCUGCGCCGGAUGCAGCAGGUGGCCAGCCAGCUGGGCAUGUUCAGCCCCAUUGCCCUGCAGUUCGGGGCCUACAGCGCCUACACCCAAGCACUAAUGCAGCAGCAGGCAGCCCUGGUCGCUGCUCACUCCGCCUACCUCAACCCCAUGGCCACCAUGGCGGCCGUCCAGAUGCAGCAGAUGGCCACCAUCAACCCCAACGGCCUCAUCGCCACGCCCCUCACGCCCCUCACCCCCUCCUCAGGUACCAGCACGCCGCCUGCCAUCGCCGCCACCCCCGUGUCCGCCAUCCCGGCCACGCUCAGUGUCAACGGCUACAGCCCGGUCCCCACGCAGACCACGGGGCAGCCGGCCUCCGAGGCCCUCUACACCAACGGGGUCCACCCGUACCCAGCUCAGAGCCCAGCCGCCCCCGUGGACCCCCUGCAGCAGGCCUACGCCGGGAUGCAGCACUACACAGCCACCUACCCUGCUGCCUACGGGCUGGUGAGCCCGGCUUUCCCCCAGCAGCCGGCCAUCCUCACGCAGCAGCCGCCCCCCCAGCAGCAGCAGCAACGGGAAGGCCCCGAGGGCUGUAACAUCUUCAUCUACCACCUGCCCCAGGAGUUCACUGACUCCGAGAUCCUGCAGAUGUUCCUGCCCUUUGGGAAUGUCAUCUCUGCCAAAGUUUUCGUGGAUCGGGCGACCAAUCAGAGCAAAUGCUUCGGGUUCGUAAGUUUUGACAAUCCCGCCAGCGCCCAGGCUGCCAUCCAGGCCAUGAACGGCUUCCAGAUCGGCAUGAAGCGCCUGAAAGUGCAGCUCAAGCGACCGAAAGACGCCAACCGGCCGUACUAAGGCCUCAGAAAGAAGAACAUAACCUCCUGCUAGCAGUUCUUUCCGGCUGUGCUGCACAGAGCCCUGUCUCAGCCAGAGCUGCUGGAGAAACCUGGUCACAGGGCACAGUGCCCGGGGCAUGGACGAGCUGUCACCGGAGCCCUGCACCCUCCCCAAGAGCCAUACGCCCCCCCACCCCGGUCUGGAGCUCAAUGGAGGAGGGAGCCCCUGGAUUGCCCCCACCAGGCCCGUCCCCCCCUGCCCCCACCCAUUGCAGCUCAUCCCUAGCCAGCAGCACCGAUCCCGAGCGCCUGAUCCGCCAACUGGGAGGAUGAACCCGCUCGGCAGAACCGAAUGCGCCUGACUCCACCCAUCGGCCCUGGGCUGCGCCUAGCCCCACCAGCAGCCUGCAGCUUGUCGGGGGGGGGGGAUUUCACCUGUGAUCUCAGCCAUGCCUUGUCAACAGUGGAGGGAGGGGGGGAAAGGAGCCCCCUCCCCCCCCAGCACUGAUCCGCCCCAGCGGUAGCCAUGAAUUCCUACCACCAUAGCCCAGGUGGUGGUGGUGGGGGGGAACGGGGCUGACAGGGCACAGCCCUAGGGAAUCAGCUGGAGGGCUUGAUCCUGCCCUGGAGGUGGGAGGGAAAGAGAAGGGCCCUGUCCCUGUGCCCAGCUAGAAGGCGGGGGGGGGGUGUCCAUCCUUUGAGCUUUCUUCUCACCAAACAGGACCAAAACCGGCUCCAAGUACCCGAGGCCUUUGAGGGGGGGAGCCGGACACACUGGGGAAGCUGCAGUCACAAGCUGGGCGGGGGGUGGGGGGAAGCAGAGCUAACAGAGGGCACCACAGGCCAGAGCUGGGUGCCUCUGAGUCCAGCGGUGGUGGGCUGCCCAUGCGGGGCACCGGUAUGUCAUUUUCCUCCAUUACAGCCAGGGGCCCUGCUUCCUCUUGCUUCGAGCAGAUGGGAUCCUCCACCACCAUUCUGGUCGACCCAGGAGCCUGGGGGGACCGUGCCCAGCCGGGGGUGGGAAUGCUGGUGGGGGGGGAGGGGUGAUUAAAGCUGGUCUUCCCCUCCGUCCCGGAGCCUCGCCCCAAGCCCACCCGGGCUCUCUUAUUGCCUCUGCGGCUUAUUACCACCUGGCCCCGCGGAGGAGACAUGGGAUGGGCACUAGGGCUGAGGCAUGUGGCACUGGACUGGCUGAGGCCCGGAGGCGGGGGGAAGGAAAGGACCGUGUCUUCCCCACCUCUAUCCCUCAGCGUGGCAUCAAGGGGCAAGCCACGGGCACUGGGGCUCACAGCUGGGGGAAGGAAGGGAUGGGCAGCAGCUCCUACACUGAGCAGGCACCUGAGAGCUAACAUAGCGAAACCGGGACACCCACCCCCAGCCUCCACAGGGCUGAUAUCCCACCUCCACUCCCCUGCCAAUCAAGGCAGGAAGUUUCAGACACUCUAAGCCCCCCGCCCCACGCACAAUCAGCUCCCUAAGCCCACGGCCCAGACAUAGCCCCCUUCGUGGAUUUCCAGGCCAUAGCCACUGCUUCGUUCCCAUCCAGUUGUCCCGCCACGUGGAUUUUCUCCUCCUUUAUGGUUAAAAAUUUGCUGUUUUCAAAUCCUGGCCCGGGCAGGAAGAGCCAGAGAAGCCAAUUCCACCUCCCGCCGCGCCCCAUUAAGAGCCACAAUGUCCUUUGCGUGGCAGAAGGCUAAGAAACUCUCUGUGCGCCAUCCGAAGCAAGAGUUCUGACUAAGGAUGCAGCCCCAAGAGCCCCCAAAUGGUUGCCGGCUGCCCCCUGACCUGCCGCGGCAUCUCCUCCCCUUCCGUCCUGGGCUCAUUUCCCGUUUCCCUUGUUCCACACAGCAGCCCUCUGAAAAAUCCAGCCCUGCGCUUGAAACCGAGCUGGCUGCCCUGGGAGGCAGUCCUGAGCCUGCGAUGGUUUAUGCUUAGGAGUAACGGCAUGCUCAAAAGUGAUACUUCUGCUGUCACAGUCUCUGGCACCUCCGACUGAGAUCAGGGCCCAUUGUGCCGGGCGCUGCCCAGAGACAGAGUAACCAAGAUCAGGGCCCCGUCGUGCCAGGCACUGCCCAGAGACAGAGUAACUGAGAUCAGGGCCCCAUUGUGCUGGGCACAGCCCAGACACAGUGAGCAACAGCCCCUUCCUGGAAGACUUUAAUAAAGAGUGGGAGGGGAAACCGAGGCACAGAGAGGGGCCAUGACUUGCUCACAGUCAGGGGCAGAGACAAGACCAGAACCCAGGUUUUCUGACUCCUAGUCCAGCCUCCAAGCCACUAGGUCAGGCUGCUCCCCAAAGCGAGCCCAGCUGUAAAGUUACUCCAGCAAGAGAUUGCAGGGUGGCUGCUCCCCUUCUCUCACAGCUCCGGGUCAGAAAUUACGCUUCUCCUGGCCUUAGUUCUCCUCUCCAGCCAUUUUGUUUUGAGGCCCUCCCCAUCUGGCAAUUGUAAAAUAUCAUGAUACUCUACAUGCUGACCAACCUCUCAUCUCUACUGCGCUCUGAAAUCAACCUAUACCAUGGGAAAGAGAAGAAGAAGAAGAAAAAAAACUAUGUUUACAGUCUCCUGCUAAUCCAGUAAUUGUAAAUAAUUUCGUUGAGAUUAGCUGUGAUCCAAAAGGAUUCAAGUUGCUGCCAUUUUCUCCUCUCCAAUUUUAGAGAAUUUUAAUGGUUUUUCUUUUUUUUUUCUUUUUAUUUGGAGGGGGGGUGAGAGGGAGGGGGUUUAUUACCUGGUACUUUUAUUUAGAGGGGAAAAAAUACAACUUUUAGUGGGGAAAAAGAAAAGAAAAGUUGAAGUCUAUGUUUCAGACGAUAUCGAUGCUUAACUUAUUUGUUAUUUAUUGCCAUUUACUUUAAAUAAUUUAAUUUUUUUUCUGUCUAAAUAAAAGAAGUAAAAUCAAAGAAAGGGCCCCAUG